UAUUUUGACUAUACGAAGGUAUUGAAAUAAGGCUUUAAAUGGGUGCUAAGAGAAUGGUUGAACAAUUAUAAGCUUUCUUUAAUUAAUAAAUUGAAUUUAAUUUUUUUGUGAAGAAGCAAAAAUAGUAAUUAGGGACAAGAAGACCCUAUGAAUUUUAGGAUUAAAUUUAGAACUAAAUUUGAAAUAAAUUUAAUUUGAUUGGGGCGAUAAAAAAAGAAUAAUUAUCUUUUUUUAAUAUUAAUUUGAUCCAUUAAUAAUGAUUAAAUGAAAAAAAUACUCUAGGGAUAACAGCGUAAUAAUUUCGGAUAGUUCAUAUAGAUGAAAUAGUUUGCGACCUCGAUGUUGGAUUAGGAUACUUUUUUGGUGAAGAAAUUAAUUGUAAGAAGUUUGUUCAACUUUUAAAUUCC
rnacentral:rRNA from 1 species